rnacentral:lncRNA from 1 species
CCGGCAACCUAGCUCGGAGACGACGGCCGGCGGCCGGCGCGGGCGUGCAGCGUCGUGCGAGCAGCGUGCCAGCGGCAGCGCGUCGCUGUGGCGUGCUGCAGCCGCGCGGCAGGCACAGAUCAGGAGGGACGGCGCGGAAGCUGAAGCUAAGCGUAUACUGAGGUCCGAACAGCACCAGGAUUAAGGUCUGUUCGGACUCUCCAGAGCUUGUGAUUCGUGAACUAUGAACUGAUGACGAUGCAGUUGUCUCAGCGACAGUUCUUCAGAUUUCACCUUAUUCGGUUUUGCUCUGCCACUGGCCGCAGCAAUGUCCUCUUCGUCCUCUUUCCCCGGCUCCCGCUUCCCCUUCGCCGCCGGUGGCGCCGGUGCUGGAGCCUCCGGCGGAGGUGCGGGCGGAGGCGGAGGAGGCGGCAGCGGGAGCAGCGUGCGGCCCUGGGGAUCGAGCGGAGGGACGUCGGUCUCGUCGUCGGGGAAGCGGAUACAGAAGGAGCUGCUGGACCUCAACGCCUCCGACUGCUCCGCCGGUCCCAAGGGNNNNN